AGUUUAAUAGUCAAAAAUGAUUUUGAAUUGCAAAUUCAAAGGUGAAUAAUUUCUUAAGCUU
rnacentral:tRNA from 1 species